rnacentral:rRNA from 1 species
AGAGACAGCAGUAGCCACGGUAAUACGUAGGUGGCAAGCGUUGUCCGGAAUUAUUGGGCGUAAAGGGCUCGCAGGCGGUUUCUUAAGUCUGAUGUGAAAGCCCCCGGCUCAACCGGGGAGGGUCAUUGGAAACUGGGAAACUUGAGUGCAGAAGAGGAGAGUGGAAUUCCACGUGUAGCGGUGAAAUGCGUAGAGAUGUGGAGGAACACCAGUGGCGAAGGCGACUCUCUGGUCUGUAACUGACGCUGAGGAGCGAAAGCGUGGGGAGCGAACAGGAUUAGAUACCCCAGUAGUCCCUGUCUCUUAUAC